rnacentral:rRNA from 1 species
UACGAGGGGAGCUAGCGUUGUUCGGAAUUACUGGGCGUAAAGGGCGUGUAGGCGGUACCAUAAGUCAGAUGUGAAAGCCCUAGGCUUAACCUAGGAAUUGCAUUUGAGACUGUGGAACUAGAGAUCGAGAGAGGUAAGUGGAAUUACGAGUGUAGAGGUGAAAUUCGUAGAUAUUCGUAAGAACACCAGUGGCGAAGGCGACUUACUGGCUCGAUACCGACGCUAAGGCGCGAAAGCGUGGGGAGCAAACAGG